rfam:Camelus ferus unplaced genomic scaffold scaffold429, whole genome shotgun sequence.
GAGGGUAUAGCUCAAGUGAUAGAGUGCCUGCCUAGCAUGCACAAGGUCCUAAGUUCAAUCCCUAGUAUCUCCU